rnacentral:lncRNA from 1 species
UGGUUUCCACUUUCUUGGUGCAAAGAAGAAGUCGAACAGCAAAAAGAAGGAAUUGAUAGGAGCAACGCUUUGUGAAGAUCUCCAGCAGUUAUGCCUUUCUUGAUUAGUGAUACGAUGUACUCCAUGAAGGCUGAAUCACAGGGUAAUGUAAUAGGGCCACCACUUGACAACCCAAACUCUUCUUCGGACAUGCGUAAAAGUUGCCUAAUGACCUCAUUUUCAAGGUAAGCCAAUGGAACGACGAAGCGGGAUUGAUCAGUUGUAUAAACUACAAAAUGGCCUUUCUCAACUAUAGAGGAUGAAGAUGUACUGCAACUGUCUGCAUCACUAUCAUUUCUUGGAAAUGUAAUCCUCUUCCUCUGCAUAGCAGCAAACUUCUGCCAUUUCCUGGCCAUCUUGAUGAGUUUCUUAGCGCUGAGCAUUGCCAUUUGUUUUUUGGAAGAUUGAAAAUGAGAAAGUAGAAAAGAAAUUUAGAGACUUUAGAUGGUUGAACUGAUAAUGCUUGUCCUUGAUGAUGAAAAAGCUCAUGAAAGAGGGAUUAUUUAUACAAAAUGGAGCUGAAGUUCUUGUCACUAACCACUGAAGGCAAAACCAUGUGCCGAUGUUUGUUGGCCAAGUUGGCAUUGGGCCUAAAAUUUGUGGAUGAAGCUAGGCCUAUUAGCUAUAAUAUCAGUUCAUAAAUGGUACUUCUCACCAAUGCCAAUAAUUUGAAAGCAUUAAAUGAACAAUUGCCGGUGAGAAGCAAAACCAUGUUCUUCUCCCUUCAUUUUCAUGUAGAUAGGGGACACUUGACUAUCAUACUUGUGCUAGAAAAACCAUUUCAUUAAAGUCAUCAUGUGGCUAUUCUGUUUUGGUCUCUGUCACUCUAUCUUUAAAUCAGGUGGUCCAGGCAAAGCUAUCAUCUUCAUCUAUUCUUGUGAAUUUUGUUUCAAGAGUGUCCUUUAUGUAAAUCAUGAGUCUUCAGAUGGCAUUAUCUCUCACUAUAGUGGUCACCUAUUUCUCUUGACCACCACUAAAUAUUUUGAUAUGAAACUUGUCAUAAACAUGUAUAUAGAUACUAGUCUCCGGAAUGUGAUGCCAUCUCUUUGACAAUAGAAAAAUAUAAACUGGAAUUACAUUCAUUCUCAGGGGUCAAAGAUUCUCCCUUCAUCUCGGUACUAAGUUUUUCCAUUACUUGUGCGCAAAUUGUUGAUAGUAAAAUGGGAGUAAAUCCCCUAUUAAUUCCUUCCCAACCGAGAAGUGAGAUCAAAGAAAGCAUCCUCUUUGCAGGGGAUUUUGACACCAGCUAUUUGAUGAUCAAAACCAGUAUCUUCCUCAGCUUGAGCAACAAGCGUUGAAAUAAUGAGAGUUCUCUCAAAUGAGAGUUCUUCCAUUAAAUAGAAAGAAUUCUGAUUUACAUGCCUUAAAAAAUCUGCUAUAUAUCCCUAAAUAUAUGUUAUUCCUAAUUGUAAUAUCUCUGAAAAUAUGCUACAUUAAUCUAUGCUAUCUCCUAUCAUCAUUACACAAAUAUUUAGAGUUAUAACAUAGAUAUGUACAGCUAUUUAGAAUCUGUCCAAUCACGCUAACAUCCCCCCUCAAAUUGAUGCCGGUGGAUCAAAAAGCAUCAAUUUGCCUACCAGAAACUGAUGACGUUGUCGUGCCAUAGACUUUGUAAACACAUCAACUAUUUGAAGAUCACUGGAUACAUGUGGAAGAGUAAUGACUCUCUUAUCCACAACUUCUCUGAUAUAAUGACAAUCCACUUCAAUGUGUUUGGUCCUUUCAUGAUAAACUGGAUUAGUAGCAAUCUGAAUAGCAUUUGUGUUGUCAGCAUGGAGAGGAGUGGGAUUAGAUUGAGGAAAUUCAAUUUCUGCAAGUAAACCACGAAACCAAACAAUCUCAGAGCAAGCAGUAGACAUUGCUCGAUAUUCAGAUUCGGUGGAAGAUUUUGAUACACGAUCUUGCUUCUUGCUCUUCCAAGAUAUCAAGGAAUCUCCAAGAAACAUGCACCAACCCGUGACGGAGCGACGAGUAUCAGGACAUCUAGCCCAAUCAGAAUCACUAAAUGCAUUAAGCUGAAUCUCAGAACCACUAGGAAAGAAUAAUCCACGAGUAGAUGUUCCCAAGAGAUAUCGAAUCAUGCGACGGACAGCCACCAAAUGUAGAUGGCGUGGAGCCUGCAUAAAUUGACUCAAUUGUUGAACUGCAAAAGAGAUAUCAGGCCGAGUAAUAGUAAGAUAAUUUAGUCUCCCAACUAAUUGCCGAUACAAAGUUGGAUCAGGAAGAAGAUCUCCUUCCGCACUGCAAUUCUUUACAUUCAAUUCCAAUGGAGUAUUUACAGAGGGAGAUUCUUGAAGACCAGCCAAAGCAAUCAAGUCCUAAGUAAAUUUGUGUUGGUUCAAGACAAAGAGAAUUGAAGCAAAGUAGAUCGAAACUUGUCAAACCAAGCUCUUGGAGCUUGUUUUAAUCCAUAUAAAGACCGCUUCAACUUGCAUACAUCUGAUGUAGGUGAUGAGAACAAACCAGGUGGGGGUUUCAUAUAAAUAUCUUCUUUGAGAUCACCAUGAAGAAAAGCAUUUUUGACAUCCAUUUGAUGAAGAGGCCAAUUUUGUGAUGCAGCAAUGACAAUAAUAGUUUGCACCGUAGUCAUUUUUGCUACAGGUGCAAAAGUCUCCUCAUAGUUUACACCAUACUCCUGUUUGUUGCCAAGGACCACCAAUCGAGCUUUGUACCGAUCAAGAGUUCCAUCAGAAUUAAGUUUAAUUGAAUAAACCCAUUUACAUCCAAUUGGACGGAUAUUUGGAGGACAAGGAACAAUGUCCCAUGUGUUAUUUUCUUUAAGAGCCAAAAGUUCCUCCUCCAUUGCUUUUUGCCAACAUUCAAGCUUGGAAGCUUGUGAGUAACUUGUUGGAAUAGAGAUGGUGGAUAAAGUAGAAGAAAAACCAUACCGUUUGAGAGUUUGAGACACUUUAGUAGAUCGCCGAGGAGGCUCAAGAGGAGCAAACCUUGAAGAAAUCUCAGAUUCUGGUUGUGGAGCAGUCUCAGGUGGCGGAUUUGUUUCGGGAUGGGGUAAAGUUGGCUGAUGUCGUUCAUACACAAAUCUUGGUUUGAACCGCUUAGAAGACAAUGACAAAUCCUCAAAAGUAGGAAGAAGAGGAGAAACAGAAGAUGACUCAACAUGAGUAGGAAAGAAAUACUGAUUCUUAAAGAAAAUAAUAUUUCUAGAAACACGAAAUUUGUUAGAACUUGGAUCAUAGCAAAUAAAACCUUUUUGUGAAGUACUAUAGCCCAUAAAAGCACAUUUAAUAGACUGAACAGAGAGUUUAUUUCGUUGAAAAGGAGGCAGGUGCACAAAACAAACACAACUAAACGUAUGAAAACUAUGAUAGCUGGGAUGCUUAAUGAAAAAGACGAUAAUAUGGAGACUCAAGAUUUAACACUUUAGAUGGAAGUCUAUUAAUCAAAUAGACAACAGUAGACAAAGCUUCAACCCAAUAUUAGAUGGAACAGAGGACUCAAUCAAUAAAGUACGAGUGACAUCUAAAUGAUGAUGAUUCUUACGCUCAGCAACUCCAUUUUGUUGUGGCAUAUAUGGGCAAGAGCGUUGUGAUACAAUUCCUUUCUCAAGCAAGAAAUUAUUGAAUUCAUGAGACAUAUAUUCUCCACCAGAAUCAGAUCUUAAUAUUUUGAUGCAUGUGGAAAAUUGAGUCUCAACGUAAGCCAAAAAUUUCUUGAAUAUGGAAAACACUUUAGAUUUAGAUCGAAGAAAAUACACCCAUGUAAAUUGACUAUAGUCAUCUAUAAAUGUCACAAAAUACUUGAAAUGAGCAUGAGAAAUAACUGGUGAAAUGCCCCAAACAUCACUAUGAAUGACAUCAAAACACUUUGUAGCACGACUACCAAAAUUAGGAAAAGGAAGAGUUUUACUUUUGCCUAAUUUACAAGUAGAACAAUCAAAGGAAGCAACUGAAAAUUGAUUUUUAUUUCCCAAUAAACCAGAAUUGGACAAAUGAGACAACACAAUAGAAUGUGGAUGUCCUAGACGUUUAUGCCAAACCUCAUUCUUAGUAGUGGUAGAAGCAAGAGCUAGAACACGAGGAAUAGAAAAGUGUAUAGGAAACAAUCUUCCAACUUUAGGCCCCUUCGCGAUUAUCGUCCUCGACACCUGAUCCUGCACAAUGCAACCAUUACGAGAAAAAUUCACAUCACAAUUGUUAUCUACCAAUUCGCCAACUGAAAUAAGACUAGUGGAGAGCUUUGAUGAUACAAAAACAUUCUUGAAAGUUUCAGAAAUAUCCCCAACCUUGGUAAUGGGUAAAUUACUACCAUUGGCAACCUUAAUUUGUGUUGGACCAUUAUACUCACGGAUGUUUUUGAGUAUAUUAGUUGAGUUGGUCAUAUGAUUGGAAGUGCCAGAAUCAACAAGCCAAAAUUUAGAUAUUACCUCAUUACCUUGCAACCCUAAAGCUGAAAAUGCUGACAAGAUCAUUUGUUGUUCCAUUUCAGGAGUAAGAACUUGUCCUACUGAAGACGAGUUAUCUGUAGUUGAACCAUUUAUCCCAACUUGAAAAGCAUUUGCCCUACGAUUUUGAGGACGUGUGGGACACUAUUUGAUAAUGUGUCCUUGUUGUUUACAAUAAUUACAGAACUUCUUGCCACAAUUACUAGCAAUAUGACCAUAUUUCUUGCAACUGUAGCAUUGAGUUCUAGCCAUAUCCAUGCCCUUUCCUUUCCCUUGAGCUGCAAAUGCGACAGUGACAACAUUUCCUUGAUGAAAAGCAUUUUAUGUGAAGAAACGCUUCUCUUCACAAAGUAAUUCCCUAAAACAGACAUCCAACGAUGGAGAUGGAUCAUGGUUCGUCAAGUUGGAGCGAACAUUUUCAAAAUCAGAUCGUAAUUUCAUCAAAAAUUGAUCUCGCUUGCUUUGUUCAUGAACUCCUUGAAUGAUGGAGAUAGAUUCAGAAGGUAUUGUAGUAUAAAUGAUAUCGGUAAAUUCAGCCCAUAAGUUCUGAAAUCCAGAGAAAUAAUCUUGAACAGAGAGACCUCCUUGAGAAUACAUAGCAAUUUCAUGCUCUAACUGAAAGCGCCUUGCGCUAUGGUCUUGGUUGUAAACCUUUUGUAAAUAAUUCCACAUUGCCUUUGCUGUCUUGUAUGGCCUGAGAUUAAGAACAAUAAGAGGGUCAAUUGACCCUAAAAGCCAUGUCAUCACCCGAGCAUCUUAACUUCCAUUGACCGAGCUUUGUCGGAUCAGUAGGAGUAGGAUCACUUCCAUCUAUAUGUCCCCAUAAUUCUUUUCCGGUGACAAAUAGUUGGAAUUGAAAUUCCCAGGCAAAGUAAUUUUUCCUGUGAAACGAACAUAGAAGGACUCAAACUGAUAUGACGCCAUGUUCUUGACAAGUUAAGGAAGAUAGAAAUGCAAUGAUACAAAAUACCAAAUGACCAAGACUGAGAUUCCAAGAUGCCUAAAAUUUCAAGAUACUUAGGACUUACCGUUGACUAAAAAACAGUAAGCUGAACCAAAACUUUCAAAAAAAAAUUCUGAAAGAAACCACAGAUGAAAGACACUAAGAAUCAAAGCACUAAAGCACUGAAAAAGGCUCUAAUACCAUGUCAAUUUUGCUGAAUGAGUUCUCUCAAAUGAGAGUUCUUCCAUUAAAUAGAAAAGAAUUCUGAUUUACAUGCCGAAAAAUCUGCUAUAUAUCCUAAAUAUAUGUUAUUCCUAAUUGUUAAUAUUCUCUGAAAAUAUGCUACAUUAAUCUAUGCUAUCUCCUAUCAUCAUUACACAAAUAUUUAGAGUUAUAACAUAGAUAUGUACAGAUAUUUAGAAUCUGUCCAAUCAUGCUAACAUGCAUUUCUCAGAAUUAUUUGUUUUUGUUUUCUCUUAGGUCAUUUUUUAGAAUAAUAGAAUUGUCUCUUGAAACAAUGGGUAUCAAAACGACUCCAUUUAUUAAGUCUAAUCAAAUAACAUACUUGAAUCCACCUUUAUUUCAAGAUCCGUUAGAUCAUAUUGUAGUUUAUCUCCUAAUUUCUUAUGAAAAUACCAUAAAUAUACUUGGACAUAAUAUUUUCUUCAACCAGUUUAUUCUUCAAAUGCUGUUGUCUAUCACCUUAAUGAAAAUACCUCAGCAAAGCCUGAUGCAGUAUACCUUCUGGAUAUGGGGACUUAAAUUUGUGGAUGAAUCUUGUUUCAAAGGAUGGAAGAUAAUGAGUUUAUUAUUUUCUUCAUUAAAUUGACGACCGAAUGGACUGAGACCUUUAUGGGAGUGAAUGGACCUAAUUAGAACAUAACACAUAAAGUUGAUUCAUAUAAUUGAGACUAAACAGUUUGGGUUUGAGACGUAGUUGAAUGUUGAUCGUUUGAUCUCCUUUGUUUCAAAUUUUCAUACCAUCUAGUUUUUUUUCAAUCAAGGAAGUGCCAAACUCCAACAUUAGAUUGUUAGGACUACUCAUAACCAAAUUGAAUAGUGAGAACAUGAAAACAUGACUAAAUUGGUCCUAGUUACUCUUCGGGGCAGAGUGGAAGAAGUGGGGGAUUCUCGGAAGCGGAAAAGGAUCAAUGAAUUCAAAAGAGUUGAAAAAGCAGUUGAUUACUCGGAUUGGUUCUCGCAUCCAUGUGCCCAAAAGGCUGGGAGAGUCUGGUUUGAGUGUUCAUCGAUCGGGUGGAUCUAAUUGUCCAAGAUUCCCCACUGCUUCCCCCCGUGGGAGUUCAGGCCGUGUCUCAGUCCUCUUUUCUAUGCAUCUUUAGUAUUUUUGCCCUGGUGGAUUUCUUUCUCAGUAAAUGCAUGGACUGGACUAAACAGAACAAGAGGGAUCCAUUUGAGAAGAUUCUUCUCCCUUUCCUUCCCUUUUUUCGGAAGAAGGGUCGGAUCUCAGAUUUUGAUUUAGUUUUCUAUAUUUUGUAUUUCAAAUCUUGAUCAAAAUAUAUGCAAUAGGAAAUAUGGUAAAUUUUCAAAUAAAGUAGUAUUCAAUUUGUAUGAUGUUCUUUACAAUUGUGUACUCUUCAAUGUCCGCCUUUCUAAAACCUAUUUUUGAGCUACCAUGUACAAAAAAUUGUGGACCUUAACUCAACAAACAAGAAGCUGCUGGCUUCCAAUUUCUUGGUGCAUAGAAGAAGUUGCACAGCAGCAUGAAGGAAUCGAGAGGAGCACUGCUUUGUGAAGAUCUCCCGCAGCUACACCUUUCUUGAUUAGUGAAAUGAUGUAGCUCAUGAAGGAUGAAUCACAGGGUAAUUUAAUAGGGCCACCACUCGGCAACCCAAACUCUUCUUCGGACAUGCUUAAAAGUUGCCUUAUGAUCUCAUUUUCAAGGUAAGCCAAGGGAACGACAAAACGGGCUUGAUCAGUUGUAUAUACUACAAAAUGGCCUUUCUCAACCAUAGAAGAUGAAGAUGUACUGCAACUGUCUGCAUCACUACCAUUUCUUGGAAAUGAAAUCCUCUUCCUCUGCAUGGCUGCAAACUUCUGCCAUUUCCUGGCCAUCUUGAUGAGUUUCUUAGCGCUGAGCAUUGCCAUUUUUCCUUUGAAGACUGGAAACAAGAAAUUGAAUGAGAAAUUUAGAGAAAUUUGAUGGCUAAAUUGAUAAUGCUUGUGCUUGAUGAAGAUGAAUGGGGGAUUAUUUAUAUAAGGAGGCUAUAGACAGGCCUUGAGUUAGAGCUGAAGUGUUUGGCACUAACUACCGAAGGCAAAUCCAUGUGUCAAUGCCUGUUGGCCAUGUUGAUAUGGGGCCUAAAAUUUGUGGAUGCAGCUUGUUUGAAAAUAAAUGAUGAUAAGUUUCUUCCUUUCUUCUCUUUAAUCAAUUAGGCCUACUUGGUAUUUCUCAGCAAUGCCAAUAAUUUGAGACCAUUAAAUGAACAAUUGCUGGUAACAAGCAAAACCAUGCUCUGCUCUCUUCUUUGUCAUGUAGAUAGGUGACCUUUAGAUUUCCAUCUCGGCAUCUAUUCAUUGAUUCUUGUGGAUUUUAUUUCAAAUAAAUGCGGGGACUAAUGUCAUUCUUCUACAAAUUUAUUGUCUGAAUACUUGACAAUAACAGAGUAAGCAAAACCAUGUGAAGCUUCAUGUCCCAACGUCUUUCACCAGCGGCCACCAAAUCCUCUACACCAUUAAACUUGGAUAUGAAACUUAUCACUAACUUUGUAUAUAUACACAUACAUAGAAAGUUUUUUAUGCAAAACACAAGUCUCAAUUUCUGUGUAUUUCUCAAAAUCCGUCUUUUAUUAAGUCACUUAUUUAAAGCUACCAAAGUAUAUCACUAUGGGUAUUAAAAUGAGUCCUCUUAUUCAAGGGACUAGAAUCUUCAGGAGGUUUUCAAAUUCCGGAGGUAUUCCCAAAGGUCAUUGUGCAGUAUAUGUAGGAGAGAGCCAGAAGAAGAGAUUCGUCGUGCCAAUAUCAUACUUGAACCAACCUUUAUUUCAAGACUUGUUAACUCAAGCUGAAGAACAGUUUGGCUUCGAUUAUCAGAUGGGUGGUCUCACAAUACCUUGCAAAGAAGACGUGUUUGUUGAUCUCACAUACCGCUUGAGACGAUGAAUUGUAUCAAAGUGCAAAUUCUAUUGCACAUGAAAUUUUGUAAAGUAGUAGGACUUAGAUAUUAGAAAGAGAAAAAUCCACUGUAUAGUUCAGAAACACUUGAACCUUGAAAAUUUCCUCAAUGAUCAAUUUAUGAAUAGCAGAAGUGCUGGUUCUGAUAAUCACUAUUUUGGUAGUAUUUGCAAAAAAAAAUCUGUUUUUCAUUUAGAAUAUUUCUUCAAAAAAUAUUUAAGCUCCUGUAUGAAACAGUUGCACCGUGUGGCGCAAACUAGCACAUCGAAGGAAGUAUCAUUUAGUGGAAUAAGACUGUCAUUUGAAUGCCAUAAACUUAUAUAUACACAUACACAAAGAGUAUUUGAGCAUUCCUCAAAAUUAUUUGUUUCUUGUUUGUUCUUAGAUCAUCAUUUAGAUUUAAAAAUCAUAGCUUGAAAUACAAAGCCGCGCGAUAUAUUUUGGACAUCAUUUAGGUUCUUCAGCAUCUGCAGUUGUUUUUUCACCUAAUUGUUUCUGCACAAAUAUAUUUUGGACAUCUUAUUAUCUUCAACAAGUUUAAUUUAAUAUUCUGACACUAACUUGGAAGACAAAGCCACGCGAUACUUUAGUAAAGCCUGAUUUCUGUUGGAUAUUGAUAUGGGGUCUUAAAUUUGUGAAAAAGUCUUGCAGAUUUCCUUUCUUUCUUCAUUUGCUUGCGGAAUAACACUUAGGAACUUCUCACAAAUAAUAAUAGUUUGGGACCUUUGAAUGAAGAAUUGAUAUCAUAGAGGUGUUAAUACAUAAGAGGUACUAAUCCAGGAUUAGAUUGUUAAGUCUUCUCAUAACCAAAUGUAAAAGUUAAAGAUGUAGAUAUGGUAAAUCUUCUCUGAUAAAAUAAUAUUGAAUAUUGAAUCUGUAUGAUGCGCUUUACAAUUGUGUUCUCCAUUCUAUGUCCUAUCUAAGCUAGAGUGUAAUAAGAAAAAAUGUUGAUUAUGACUCAACAAACAAGAAGCUGUUGGUUUCCACUUUCUUGGUGCAAAGAAGAAGUCGAACAGCUAGAAGAAGGAAUUGAUAGGAGCAACGCUUUGUGAAGAUCUCCAGCAGCUAUGCCUUUUUUAUUAGCGAAAUGAUGUAGUCCAUGAAGGCUGAAUCACAAGGUAAUGUAAUAGGGCCACCACUCGGCAGUCCAAACUCUUCUUCGGACAUGUUUAAGAGUUGCUCAAUGACUUCAUUUUCAAGGUAAGCCAAUGGAAUGACAAAGCGAAAUUGAUCGACUGUAUAUACUACAAAAUGUCCUUUUUCAACUAUAGGUGAUGAGGAUGUACUGCCAUUUCUUGGAAAUGAAAUCCUCUUCCUCUGCAUGGCUGCAAACUUCUGCCAUUUCCUAACCAUUUUGAUGAGUUUCUUGGUACUUAUCAUUGCCAUUUUCUUUUCCGGAAGAUUGAAAACAAGAAAGUAAAUAAGAAAUUUAGAGACUUUUGAUGGUUGAAUUGAUAAUGCUUGUGCUUGAUGAUGAAAACGCUCAAGGAAGAGGGCUUAUUUAUACAAGAGGAGCUGAUAAGUUUGUUAGGCAAAGCCAUGUGCUGAUGUCUGUUGACCAUGUUAAUAUGGGGCCUUAAAUUUGUGGAUGAAGCUAGUUUAAAAGACGAUAAGUUUCUUUGUUUCUUCUCACCAAUGCCAAUAAUUUGAGACCAUUAAAUGAACAAUUGCUGGUGAGAAGCAAAACCAUGUUCUGCUCUCUUCUUUGUCAUGUAGAUUUCCAUCUUGGCAUCAACUUCAUUAAACCUUGUCGAUUUUAUUUUAAGGGUAUCCAUAAAAUAAAAUUGGGGCCUAAUGCUGUUUUUCAACAAAUUUAUUGUCUGAAUACUUGACAAUAACAGGGUAUGCAAAACCAUGUGAAGUUUCAUGUGCAAUUGUCUCUCACCAGUGGCCACCAAAUUCUCUUCACAUUUAUUUUGUAUACUAGAUUUACCGCACGUGCGUUGCACGUGGUUGCUUCGUCUUAAGAUUGUUACAUGUAUGAUAGUAUUUUGGUACUUAAUCUGGCCCAUAUUUUUGUGUGUUUUGCCACUUUUUUUGCAAGUCGGUAUUAUGUGGCCUUGUAGUUCUUCCGACCAGUCGUUUGUUUUGGUAUAUUUUGCAAUAAUUUUCAUUUUUUUGUCUUUCUGUUAACCUGUAAUACGCAUAAUAGUUGCAUAAAUAAAUUAGACUCAGGUGUAAUUAGCAUUUUCUGUCCAUUGAACAUAAAGGCCAAAAAAUUCCCACUCAAGCGGUCAUUUUUGGUUUAAGUAUUGCAGUAGAUGCUGUGACCGCCCUUUUUUUAACCACAUGUUGAAUAUGUGGUGAAACAUCUCAUGGAUGGUUGUACGAUGUGUAUUUCCAUUUUAGAAAUGGGUAACAUACCUGCUUGGUUUUGAUGUUUACUACUUGGGUGAAGUUAUAUUCAAUCUGAGAAGUGCAAUGUUGAUUUUGUUGUGUACUUUAAUUUGUGAUUUCUAAUUUUGAAACGCCAGUUAAAUGUGUAUUAUACUUAUGGUAGUUGUAUGUAUAGUUUUAAAUCCCUGUACCGUAAGCCGUAUCUUGUUAAUCUACAUUUUAGUUGUUCAUCCUAUGGCUUUGUAAGUCAUUAUUCAUUACAACCUACUUACUGACCAAACACACAUCUGUACUAUUUGUGUUAUGGGGAUUUUAGUCGGGCGCCGUCCUCUUAAUUUGAUUGUACGUUAUUUAUUGUUAAGUAAUUGUGCUUGACUUAACAAUCUGCCCUAUUAGUUAUGUUCCGUCAUGACUCCUUUACAAUAAGGUCUAAUCAUUGUGUACUGUAUAUUUACAUAAUUGAAUAAACACAAAAGUAAUGUCUUAUUUGGUAAUUGCCUGAUGUUGUUCAUAUUCUCUCCUCUUCCACCAUACUUACGAAUGCAUCCACCCAUCCUUCAUUAGCUUCAUGUUGUGUUGUGUUUAUCCUUCAAAUAUCUCCUAAAACUUCCUUGUAGACAAUAUUUCUUGUGUAUGUCCCUGCGUGUCGCUCUGGUUGUUCAGUCAUUACCAAUAUUUUAGUUGUCUCCAUAGAUAUUCCUCUCGAUAGUGCCACAUACAAUUGACCAUGUGAGAAUACAUGUUGUGGUAGGUACAACCCAACAUUUGGUAUUGUUUGACCUUGUGCCUUAUUUAUUGUCAUUGCAAAACAUAAACGUAUUGGAAAUUGUUUCCGAAUAAAUUUGAAAGGAUAGCCUUCAUUCUCGGGUGGUGAUAGUUGUAUUCUCGAAAUAAACACUUGUUUUGUGGCAUAUUGACCUGUUGUUAUUUCUGCAUGUAUGACAUUCCUGUCAAAACCUCUACAAAUCAGUCUUGUCCCAUUGCACAACCCAUUUGAGGGGUCUAGAUUUCUCAGCAUCAUUAUGGGUGCAUUUUCUUUUAGAACCAACCUAAUGCAUACAACUUAAUCAUUUAUCAGUUGUAUUGAAUUUGUAAUAGUGGAAAUUUUGUUUAUUUCAUUUGUGUAAUGAGCUAACAUAAUAAUAAUAGUUAUGUAUAAGUUUUGAUGUAUUUGAUAAUGUACCUAUGUGGCGGUAGUCCAUUUGGUGUUAAGGUGUUGAGGUAUUCUUCUUGAUAGUAGUUGUUGGUAUCAUCUUCCGCUGCGUCAAAGCUGAUAUAUGUUUUUGUUUCUCCUGGGAGUUUUCCAAUCAUCAAUUCAUUUAGGUUAUCUACAAAUUCAUUUCGACUUACUAAGAUGGCCUGCGUCAAAGCUGAUAUAUGUUUUUGUUUCUCCUGGGAAUUUUCCAAUCAUCAAUCAUUUAGGUUAUCUACAAAUUCAUUUCGACUUGCUAAGAUGGCUCGUUCUGUUAUGUACUCAGCAGAUCUGUAAUUUUGUUCAAUUGCUGGGAAAAUUUCCCUGACCAAUGAUUCUUUAGGAUUACCAUCCUGACUUUGUUGGACAAUCAUUUGUUGCGGCAGCGCUAUCAAGUUUUAUUUUAUUGUGGUUUCUUCUCCGUUUCCAAUACGCAGCAACAACUCACUGAAAGUUGUAUCUGUUCUUGCUCGCAUAUUUGUUGAAAGUUGUAUCUUUUCCAUUAAAGGCCACAGAUACGACCUUACUAAACUUGCAUCUAUGGUCUCUGCUCGUGUAGAUUUUGGUACAACAGGCAGUACUUGUCGGAAGUCGCCUCCAAACACCAUGAUUUUUCCUCCAAACGGUGCAUCUUUAUCCAUUAUAUCGCGAAAGCUUCUGUCGACUGUUUCAAUUGUGUGCCGCUUCGCCAUGGGUGCUUCGUCCCAGAUUCUUAAUUUGGCCUGUUUAAUUAGUUUUGCUCCGCCGCCUUGUUUUGACAUAUGUGUCAUACUUGUCUCAUUUGCUUGUAGGGGUAUUCCAAAUCUUGAGUGUGCUGUGCGCCCUCCCGGCAAUAGUGCUGCUGCCACUACCACUGGUUGCACAGGCCAAUGCUAUCGUACCUUUUGAUCUCACGUUGGCUAGUAAUGCCCGAUAUAGAAAUGUUUUCCCGGUUCCCCCAGGGCCAUCUACAAAGAAUAAACCUUCUGUUUCUGAAUUGACCCUUUGUAGAAUUGUAUUGAAAGCUUGUUUUUGUUGUUGAUUCAAUUUGGAUUCGGCGGCUGCAUCCUCAACUGGCACCGUGACAUUCAUUUCUUCUAUUAUUUCUCUACAUUCACGUGUGUUUUGUUGAUGUAAUUGUUGUUGUAUUUGUGGUAUGUCAUAUUUGUCAACACUUUGUCCCAUACUCUCUAAGUAAUAAUUUAUACUUUUCAACGUACAUUGGAGCUGUGCCUCGAUUGUGGUGCAAUGGCUCCUUUGAAAGUCUUCAGACAUAUCACCGUAAUAUGUGUCCCAAAGACUUCUCACAUCCGUAGGGUUGCAAUGAACUAAGAUUGUUGCAAACAAACUUCGAAGUGUUGUUGGCAUCUUGAAGGUGACAGCUUCGCGUAAACAUUCAGAAAUGCUAUUAUCCGAUUCUAAUAAACCUCUUUCUUUGGCUGCCUCUUUAAACGUUUCACACUGCCUUCCAUUAACAGUUAGUAAGUUUUCAAAUGAAGUGGCUCCUCGUACGUGAUUCAAUAAUAGUCUUUCGUAAUACAUUUCUCCUUCUCUAGGAUUUGCUGUGAUAUUGAGUAGAUUCAUUUAGUAUCUUCAUUAUGUGUGAUUAAUUAAUAUGGACAGUAUGUGUAAUUGUCUUACCAAUAUUUAUGCGUCCAAUGACAGUGCAUGAUUUUCUUUUUGUCCAUAUUUUGGAUUGUGAGUUCCAUACAAAAUGCUCCGGGAACUCUCUGUAAAGGUAAUUGCGAGCCUCCGUGUCUAUAGAGCACAUCCUAAAAUACUUCGUAAGCAUAGUUUUUUGUACAAAGUCUGAUUGCAGAAUACUUUGUAGAUUUUGCUUCUUCCAAUAGCACACUACAUAUGGUUUAGUCAUUAUAACAUAAACUGAUGUUCUAUGUAGGGUAGAAACUAUUUUUGUAAAUCGCAUUUUUACUAAAAUUGUUAAAUACCUGGUUGUUUGCCAGGAAGAUGUAAUUGUAGAUUGAUAACUGCCGGUUGCAUUUCAGUUAGAUUAAACUCAUAUAUUCUCCACAUUGCUUCUGGUGGUGAGACCCAUCGUGCAUCUUGGAAGCUUCUGAUUUCAUCAAUGAAUUUUUCCCCAUCGUCAGAUUCUAUAUAUACGGCACAUUUAUCGUGGCCUUUAUAUAUAUAUUUGUAAAGAUAUUUUAUUGCUUUAACUCCUGAGCAGACUUCAACAUUAAUGUGGCAAUUAUAUCUCAUCAAUAAAUAGGGAUUAUAAGGUACAACCCAUUGGUUAUUCGUGUUCAUUCCAUGGACCUCACUUGUUCUCCCAUCAUUUCUUCUUUUGUAAAUUGGAUAUUCAUCCUUUCCUUGUAUUGUUUUGUUGGUGAAUGUUCUUGGGUAGUGGAAUUUACAUUGUCCAUCUUUCAUACACGGGCUCGACUUACGUUUAUCCCCGCAAGGUCCAUGUAUCAUAUGUUUGAUAACUAAUGUGCUCAAUUCUGGAUAUGUGUCUUUAUUAGGGAUUUCUGCACUAAUGUAUUUAUCAUACUCAUCUGGUGAUCGUAUUUUGUUUCCUUCUUUAAAUAUUAGAAGUAGGUGUAUAUGCGGUAAGCCUCUCUUCUGGAAUUCUACAACAAAGACAUGUGCUGCGAUGGGUCCGAAUAUUUCUUGUUUUAAAAUUUGAUCUUUCAAGUCUUGCAAUUUUGCUCGAAAUACUCUGGUUACCAAAUCGGGUCUGUCUUGAGGGAGUUGUCUUGGACGCAAUUGUUCUUGAAUCUCAACCCAAUCUGGGUUACAUGUCAUGGUGAUGAAAACAUCUGGUCGUCCAAACUCCUGAACCAAAGCCAUUGCAUCCAUAUAUCGGUGGCGCAUAUCCCUAGGCCCUCCAAUGAACGAUCCUGGUAGUAAUACCCUUUGUCCUACCUUGUCUCCUCUACACUCACCGGCACUGACACUGUCAACAAUACCUUCAAGUAUCUCCCUUCGAUAAUUUGAUUGCUCGAAUCUAUAAUAUUCUAGUCUGGUUGUUUCUAUCUUAAUGUAUAUGUCCACCACAAAUUGCUGCAACAAUCUCCCGCACAGUAAUAGUAUUGAUUUGUCACCCGUUCGUACUUGUAGUGUAUAACAAUAGUACUCCUUACAUGAAAUAUAGCCUUUUGUUUCACGUCGUACAACUACAUGAAUUGUUAAGAAAUAUACUUAGAUAACUUAUCUAUAUAAGGUUAGUAGUACCAGUAUAUUUUAAGUUAAAAGGUGUAAUAUGAUAGUCCAAUGAUAGUAUAUUAUUGUUGGAUAUAUUGAAAGGUGCUUACCUUGUGCUUCAUUGGCCAACAACCCCACAAUAGUUGUGGAUGAUAAUCUUGCCGAUUCGAUACUUGUAUUUGUAGGUGUUUGACUGUUGUUGAUCUGUUUGCGACAUUUUUGUAUUUCUUGGUGCCAACCUGCUUCUCCUUUAGGUAAAAUUAACGGAUAUUGAAGCGAAUCAUAACAACCAUAAUAAUGUUUUACUCGAUGUUUAUUUCCUGAAUGUUCAUGUAUUGCAAUAUCUCUUUCAAAUGGUGUAUUUGGAUUGUUUCCGUCUACCCAAAUUGCUGCGACCUGAUCCACCGACGGUUUGUUAUACACCCUUUAAUCUAAUGAAGCAUUUGCAGCUAUGCGUACUUGCAGAUUUUGUAAGUUUGUAUGUUCUUUAAUCCGUGAGAAGAAUUCUGCAUAUGGAUUCCCCUCCAUUAUAUUUCUUAAUUUGGUCAUGACUUCCUCUGAUAAAUUUGCAUCUUGUAGUACUGUCAUUCUAUUGGCUAAUUCAUGGUCAGUAUCAUAGAAGUAUAGUUGAAAGUAUCGUGGUCUGUCGUUGUUUGGAAUUAACGAUGUAGAUCAUGAUAUAUCUGACCUUGUGCCUUGAAACUGUAAACUCCUUUCCUAGAAGAUGUCAAUUCUUUGUCGAGCUUAACUCCAAAUGAUGUAAAAGCAAAUAUGCUAUUAUACGCACGUAUGUUUUUCCUGAAUAAUUUUGCGUCAUCUGAAUCCGCCACAAAUAAUUCAUAAAAGUCAUCUGCCACUUCAUUGGGUGCUAAAUUGAUACAUCCACUUGCGCAACAGAAUGUUGAUGGCUCAUAUUCAAACCUUAAAGCAUGGCAAUAUGUGCAAUCUUGGUUUUUUUUCAAUCUAUGAGUUGAUGGUCGUCUGAAGUUUCCAUUAGUAAGCCCUAUAGCACAUACCAUAAUAAUAUAUAGUUAGAGAAUGUUAUUUUAUGUUGACAACCAUUUUUUGGAAUAACUUUUGGGUUAGAAUAUUUGAUCAAAUAUACCUUCGUCAACAUUAUCGUCAGAUAUAGCUAGACGUUUCACUUUUUUUUGUCGCUUCUUCACUCGGGGUUCAUGAACAUGGGCAUCUUCAAUUUGAUCAUUUGAGGGCAGUACUCUUUCCACUGUUUGCAACGGCUUGUCUACAUCCGUUAGUAUUUUACGUUUCACCCCUAUAAUUUUCAAUCUUUAGUCGGCCUGAUAGGUGAAAUUUGGCAUUAAAAUGACAUUUUUCUAAGCAUACCUGUUGUUCUGAGCGGCCUCUUCAAGUGAUCUUCCAUGGAUGUAUCUGGAUGAAUGCAGGUGCCUGGUGAAAUGAGUGAAACAAUGUUAACAUUGGGCGUAAUUGUGUAUGGCGACGAUUGAUGAGGGCAGCGUCUGGUAAUAGUAUGCAACAUUUGGCGAAAAUUCCAUGCAAUUAAGACGUUAGCAGUAAGUUGUAAUGUGCGAGAAAUAUAAGGUUAGCACUAACAUAUAUAUGAACAUAUGUUAACAGUAAUAAGAUGUAAAGAUGCCAUUCCUAAGGUUUGAAGUAUCCCAAAUAUAGGACAUUUAUAGUUGCAAUUGGUAGGGAAUUAUAUAUGUGUAAAGAUGCCAUUCCUAAGGUUAGAAGUACCCCAAAUAUAGGACUUUUAUAGUUGCAAUUGGAAGGGAAUUAUAUAUGUGCAGGCGAGGCAGUCAUAUUGUUGCAGCAAUGGGGAGGAUCAAAGUGGAUGAGUGGAUUGUUCGUGUAGUCAUUACAAAGUGUGGAAUGUGUUUCACAUCGUGUGCUUGCAGUAUGUGCAGGCGAGGUAGUCGUAUUGUUGCAGCAAAGGGGAGGAUCAAAGUGAAUGAGUGGAUUGUUCUUGUAGUCAUUAUACAGUGCGGAAUGUGUUUAAAAUUGUGUGCUUCCAGAAUGGCAUGGGCAUAUAUAUGGUGCCAAGUAGUCCUGUCCCUGAAAGUUUAAAUUAUUAACGGGAUAACUUAGAAAAGGGAUUCACUUACAACUUGUCUAAAAGCAGGGCAGAGAGCCAGAUGAUACGUUUCUAAGUUUGCUGCGUGAAGAAAACCCAAAUCAAAAAGUGAAGGAAACUGAUAGAUUCAGUAAGGUAGUAUUGUGAAGGAGAGGGUGCGUUGAUGCAAACCUGUGCGUUAAGCGUAAUAUACGUUCGAUGGGUAGAAGUAAUUGAGUUCAUGAGUUAUAUAUUGUGGGAAGCGAUGGGUUGCGACUGUUUGAUAAUUCUAGGCGGACGUGUUUGUUCAAUUUCAAGGGAGUGGAAGUGGUGGCUUUUCAGAAUGGUUGUGUGUAAUGUACGAAAGGCCAUGGUAAAAGUUCAACGGGGGAAGUGGCGGCUUAUGCUAUAGGGUGCAUAUAGUGCGGGUGGUGUAGGAUGGAAUAGGGGUUAUUUAGUAAUUUACCUUUAAGUUAGGAGGGUUAUUUAGUAAUUUACCAUUAAGUUAGGAGUUGGUGCUUUUAAGGUAAUAUAGAUGAAACUUACCACUACUUUGUAUAUAUACACAUACAUAGAAAGUUUUUUUUAUGCAAAACACAAGUCUCACUUGCUGUGUAUUUCUCAAAAUCAUUCAUUCUUUUUCUUUUUAAGUCAUCGUUUGAAGUUACAAAGUAUCUCACUAUGGGUAUCAAAAUGAGUCCGAUUAUUCAAGGUACUAGAAUCUUGAGGAGGUUUUCAAAUUCCGGAGGUGUUCCAAAAGGUCAUUGUGCAGUAUAUGUAGGAGAGAGCCAGAAGAAGAGAUUCGUCGUGCCAAUAUCUUACUUGAGCCAACCUUUAUUUCAAGACUUGUUAACUCAAGCUGAAGAACAGUUUGGCUUCGAUCAUCAGAUGGGUGGUCUCACAAUACCUUGCAAAGAGGACGUGUUUGUUGAUCUCACAUCCCGCUUAAGACGAUGAAUUGUAUCAAAGUGCAAAUUCAAAUUUUGCACAUGAAAUUUUGUGAAGUAGUAGUAGGACUUGGAUAUUAGAAAGAGUAAAAUCCACUGUAUAGUUCAGAAACACAAGAAACUAGAAAAAAUCUUCAAUGAUAAAUUUAUGAAUAGCAAAAGUGCUGGUUCUAAUAAUCACUAUUUUGGUAGUAUCUGCUAAAACAAUUCUGUUAUUCAUUUAUGAUAUUUCUUCUAAGCAAAUUAAUUAAGCCCCUGCAUGCAACAGUUGCACUGUGUGGCACAAACUAGCACAUCGAAGAAAGUAUCAUUUAUCGGAAUAAGAAUGUUAUUUGAGUUGUUUCUCACCAGCAACACCUUAUUUGUCUCGACUACUAAACUUUUGGAUGUGAGACUUGCCAUAACAUGUACAGUGACAAAAUAUUUCAUUUUUUGUGCAUUUUUCAAGAUUAUUUGUUUCUUGUUUAUUCUUAGAUCAUCAUUUAGAGUUAAAAAUAAUAGCUUGAAAGAACAGCAAUCAAGAUGACUCCACUUAAGGACGUCUUCAGCAUCUGCAAUUGUUUUAUCACCUAAUUGUUUCUGCACAAAUAUAUUUUGGACAUCUUAUUUUCUUUAACAAGUUUAUUUUUAAUAUGCUGACACUAACUUGGAAGACAAAGCAACGUGAUAGUACUUCAGAUGCCGUUGUCUCUCACCUUUGCCACUUUAAUGUGGAUACUUCAGCAAAGCCUGAUGUCUGUUGGAUAUUGAUAUGGGGUAUUAAAUUUGUGAAAAAAUUUUGUUUGACAGGAUGGAAGUUGAUGAGUUUCUUUAUUUCUUCAUUUGGUUGACAACUGAAUGGACCUAAUAAAUAAUUAUAGUUCGGGACCUUUGAUAACCAAAUGUAUAACUGAAAGCCACAGAUAUGAUAAACUUUCUCUGAUUAAAUAAUAUUCAAUCUGUGUGAUGCGCUUUACAAGUGUGUUCUUCAGUGAAUGCCCUAUCUAAAAACUAUUUUGAGCUAGAAUGUAAUAAAUAUAAUGUUGAUUAUGACUCAACAAACAAGAAGCUGUUGGUUUCCACUUUCUUGGAACAAAAAAGAAGUCGAACAGCAACAUGAAGGAAUUGAUAGGAGCAAUGCUUUGUGAAGAUCUCCUGCAGUUACGCCUUUCCUUAUUAGCGAAAUGAUGUAGUCCAUGAAGGUUGAAUAACAAGGUAAUGUAAUAGGGCCAUCACUUGACAGACCAAACUCUUCUUCAGAUAUGAUCAAAUGCUGCCUAAUGACCUCAUUUUCAAGAUAAACCAAGGGAAUCACGAAGCGCUUUUGAUCAAUUGUAUAUACUACGAAAUGCCCUUUUUCAACUAUAGACGAUGAAGACGUACUGCAAUCAUCUACAUCACUAACAUUUCUUGAAAAUGAAAUCCUCUUCCUCUGCCCGGCUGCGAACUUCUGCCAUCUCCUGGCCAUUUUGAUGAGUUUCUUGGUACUGAUCAUUGUUAAAAAAAUACCGGAAGAUUGGAAACAAGAGAGUAAAUAAGAAAUUUAGAGAUUUUUUAUGGAUGAAUUGAUAAUGCUUUUGCUUGAUGAUGAAAAGGCUCAUAGAAGAGGGAUUAUUUAUACAAGAUGGAGCUUAAGUUUUUGUUACUAACCAAAGCCAAAGCCAUGUGCUAAUGUCUGUUGGCCAAGUUGGUAUGGGGCCUAAAAUUUGUGGAUGAAGCUAUGUUGAAAAUAAAAGAAGAUAAGUUUCUUCCUUUCUAUUCUUUGAUUAACUAGGCCUACUCGGUAUUUCUCAGCAAUGUCAAUAAUUUGAGACCAUUGAAUGAACAAUUGCUGGUGAGAAGCAAAACUAUGUUCUGAUCUCUUCUUUGUCAUGUAGAUAGGUGACCUUUAGAUUUCUAUAUUGGCAUCAACUUCAUCAAUCCUUGUCGAUUUUAAUUUAAGGGUGUUCGUAAAAUAAAAUUGGGGACUAAUGUUGUUCUUCAACAAAUUUAUUGUCUGAAUACUUGAUAAUAAUAGAGCAAGGAAGGUCAUGUGAAGUUUCAUGUGCCAUUGUCCCUAACCAGUGGCCACAAAAUUCUCUUCACCAUUAAAUUUGGAUAUGAAACUUACCACUAACUUUGUAUAUAUACAUUCAUAUAAAGUUUUUUAUGCAAAACACAAGUUUCACUUGCUGUGUAUUCCUCAAAAUCCUUUAUCUUUCUUUGAUGUCAUCAUUUGAAGUUACAAAGUAUCUCACUAUGGGUAUCAAAAUGAGUCCGCUUAUUCAAGGUACUAGAAUCUUGAGGAGGUUUUCAAAUUCCGGAUGUGUUCCAAAAGGACAUUGUGCAGUAUAUGUAGGAGAGAGCCAGAAGAAGAGAUUCGUCGUGCCAAUAUCAUACUUGAGACAGCCUUUAUUUCAAGACUUGUUAACUCAAGCUGAAGAACAGUUUGGUUUCGAUCAUCCAAUGGGUGGUCUCACAAUACCUUGCAAGGAAGACGUGUUUGUUCAUCUCACAUCCCGCUUGAGAUCAUACAUUGUAUCAAAGUGCAAAUUCUCUUGCACAUGAAAUUUUGUAGAGAAGUAGACUUAAAUAUUAGAAAUAGGAGAUUUAGAAAGGAACUUUCGCUGUAUAGUUCAGAAACACAAGAAUCUAUAGAAGUUGUUUCCAUGAUCAAUUUAUUAAUAGCAGAAGUACUGUUUCUUAUAAUCACUAUUUUUAUUGGUUAUAUUUGCUUGCAAACUAACACAUCCAAGAAAGUAUCAUUUAGCAGAAUAAGAAUGAAGUUUGUGAUAAGAAACAAGAAAUUACGUAGCGGAACCAAGUCAUCAGCUUUAUCUAUACUUAAGGCUUUAAGUUUUUUAUGAUGUCCUUGAUUCUAAGUUAUGAGAAGCUGAGGCAUACUAUUUAACAAGUUUAGUGUCUGUAUAUUUGGAUAAACUUUUGGAUAUCAAACUUUCCAUAAACUUAUAUAUACUCAGUGCAAAAACCUUUCCUUUUCCGUGCAUUUCUCAAGAUUAUGUGUUACUUGUUCAUUCUUAUAACAUCAGUUAGAGUUAAAAAUCACAUCUUGAAAGAAGGGGAAUCAUCAAAUGACUCUACUUAUUCAAUCUAAUUGAAUUUUAAUGACGUCUGCAGUUGUUUGAUAUCAUACUUGAGUUUUUCUUUAGAUUUCAAGUCUAGUUAGCUCAUAUUAUUUUAUUCACCUAAUUGCUUCUGAAAAUACCACAAAAUGUUCACACUGGAUGCUAACUUAGAAGACAAGCACAACAGUACUUCAGAUGUUGUUGUCUCGCAUCUCUGCCACCCUAAUGCAGAUAUUUAGAACAUACUAAUGCAUAUACACAUAAAAGGAGGCAUAGUUGAUUUAUUGAUCAUUUAGACCUUAUUCAAUCAAGAAGGUACUGCUGUAAGUGAAAUUCUUGCCAUAAACAAAGUGGUGUUAAUACAUAAGAGGUACCAAUCGAGGAUUAGAUUGUUAAGUCUUCUCAUAACCAAGCAUAAAAGUGAAAGCCAUGGAUAUGGUAAAUUUUCUCUGAUAAAAUAAUAUUCAAUAUAUCUGUAUGAUUAGCUUUACAGUAAUGUUCAUCAGUGUAUGCCCUACCUAAAAAACUAUUUUCAGCUAGCAUGUAUUAUGACUCAACAAACAAGAAGCUGUUGGUUUCCACUUUCUUGGUUCAAAGAAAAAGUCGAACAGCAAGAAGAAGGAAUUGAUAGGAGCAACGCUUUGUGUAGAUCUCCAGCAGUUAUGCCUUUCUUGAUUAGGAAAAUGAUGUAGUCCAUGAAGGCUGAAUCACAGGAUAAUGUAAUAGGACCACCACUCGGUAGCCCAAAUUCUUCUUCGGACAUGUUCAAAAGUUGCCUAAUGAUUUCAUUUUCAAGGUAAACCAAUGGAAUGACAAAGCGAACUUGAUCAGCUGUAUAUACUACAAAAUGUCCUUUUUCAACUAUAGAGUAUGAAGAUGUACUGCAACUUCCUGCAUCACUACCAUUUCUUGGAAAUGAAAUCCUUUUCCUCUGCAUGGCUGCAAACUUCUGCCAUUUCCUGGCCAUCUUGAUGAGUUUCUUAGCGGUGAGCAUUGCCAUUUUUCCUUUGAAGACUGGAAACAAGAAAAUGAAUGAUAAAUUUAGGGAACUUUGAUGGCUAAAUUGAUAAUGCUUGUGCUUGAUGAUGAAAAAGAAUCACGAAUGGGGGAUUAUUUAUAAAAGGCUAUUGAUAGACCUUGUGUUGGAGUCAUUAACCACCGAAGGCAAAGCCAUGUGCCGAUGACUGUUGGCCAAGUUAAUAUGGGGCCUAAAAUAUGUGGAUGCAGCUAGUUUGAAAAUGAAAGAUGAUAAGUUUCUUGCUUUCUUCUCUGAAUACCAAUAAUUUGAAACCAUUAAAUGAACAAUUGCUGGUAAGAAGCAAAACCAUGUUCCUCUCUUUUCUUUGUCAUGUAGAUAGGUGACCUCUAGAUUUCCCAUCUUGAUAAUCAACUUCAUCAAUUCUUGUGGGUUUUAUUUUAAGGGUGUCCUUAAAAUAAAAGUGGGGCCUAAUGUUGUUCUUCAACUAAUUUUUGGUUUGAAUACUAGAUAAUACCAUAUUAAGCAAAAAUCUCAUGUGCCAUUGUCUUGAAUUUUGUUUUGAAAUCCUCCAAGAUCUGUUGCUCAGGUUUUCCAUACCUGUAAAUUGUUUCUGUCAUGCUGCCACAAUGUUGUACAAAAGAGAUCAUUCCAAGGUGUGAGAACAUCAAAAAGCUAAAAUUUUACGGGACUACGAAGGACUAUAAAAUUGGUGGAAAAACAGGUAGUUUGAUAAUCGUGUCCAUCUAUUCCAAGUGCAAAAAGUUUUCCUGUCACAUCUCAAGGAAUUAAAAUUGGUCCUAAUUGGUCAGACAUAGGACUACCUGAACACCUUGAGUGAAUUGCCUAACCUUGAAGUGCUAAAGCUGAAAUCAGAUGCUUGUUGUGGCGAAGAAUAGAAUCAUAGAUAACUGAAGGGGUAUUUGCUAGAUAAGAAGGAUAAAUCUCAAGUCAUGGAAUACCUGAUAAGGAAGAGAUUCCUAUCGAGUUGUUACCUAAAAUGCAGGGAUUAAAGUAGAAUCCGAGGUUUUAGAAGCUGAAAAGUAGUGUAGCGGAGAAGCUCGAGUUAUUCAGCUAUGUUGGAUGAAAAGAUAGAAGAUGAAGAAUAGAAUUUCAGUAAUAACUUUGAAGUAUAUUCAAUUGAUAAUUGAAUCUGUGAUGAUAAUAUGUGUUUAUAGAAAUGGGAAAAGGAUCUAAUUUGUUAAUUGCUUCUAACUAAUUCAACAGCCCAUAACUAAAUGUUGAUAUGCCAAAGCUAACUAACUAGACCAGUGGAUUCAUUUUUGUGUAACAGGAGUUUACAGGACUGGUGGGGUUGAUUUCUCAGAAAAAUUACUCAACUGAUAGUUACCUUUUUGUUUACCUUUUUGGCUUACGUGGCAUCCAAAUACCUCUCACGCGCCUUAACUGCGUAGAGUCACGGAGUGUGCCACAUAAGCCAAAAAGGUAGUACAAAAAUUACAAAAAAAAAGAGUUAAGAGGUAAUAAGACCUUAGUUUAGUUAAGAUGUAUCUCUGGGAUUUCGAUCACAAUCUAGGGGAUACUUGUGCCUUAUCCCCAUAAAAUUACUCAACUGAUAGUUUUCUACAAAGAAAGUGACUUUUUGAGAUAAUUACUAUUAGUUGAGUGACCAUCUAAGAAAUCAACUCUCAACUGGUGGCUUCAGCUGUGCAAAUUCAAGAAGAGCAAGAAAACAUUGGAAAUAAGCCACUGGAUGCUCUUUCCUACAAUAAUCCAGGAACUAACUCCCCAUAAUUAAUUGCUUUUGAAACUUACAGCGUUUUCAUCUUUCAUAUUAUGAAAUAAUUGUUUUGAUUCAACUUAUUAAAUGAAGUUCUGACAAAAAAAUACAGAUCAAAAUGGUGAUAGGUGUGUGCUAUUUUGCCUUUGAAAAUUUAUUUAUAAUGAUAUAUUUAUCAUGCUUGAAUUAGAGUUUUCGCUUAUAAAAAGAAAAGAUAUCAAUCCAAGAUUAGAUUGUUAGGACUUCUGUAACCAAACUGAAAAGUAGAAGUCUUAAAUAUGGUAAAUGUUCUGACAAAUAUAAUAUUCAAUGUGUAUGAUUUGCUUUACAAUUGUGUACUCUUCAAUCUUUACCAUCUAAAAAACUAUUUUUCAGCUAGCACAUACAACAAAAUUGUUAACCUUCACUCAACAAACAAGAAGCUGUUGGUUUCCACUUUCUUGGUGCAAAGAAGAAGUCGAACAGCUAGAAGAAGGAAUUGAUAGGAGCAACGCUUUGUGAAGAUCUCCAGCAGCUAUGCCUUUUUUUAUUAGCGAAAUGAUGUAGUCCAUGAAGGCUGAAUCACAAGGUAAUGUAAUAGGGCCACCACUUGACAACCCAAACUCUUCUUCGGACAUGUUCAAAAGCUGUCUAAUGACCUCAUUUUCAAGGUAAGCCAAGGGAACGACAAAACG